CGAUUUAGCUCAAUUGGUAGAGCAACUCAUUCGUAAUGAGUAGGUUGAAGGUUCGAUUCCUUCCUUCGGC
rnacentral:tRNA from 1 species